GACGAACGCUGGCGGCGUGCCUAAUACAUGCAAGUAGAACGCUGAAGAGAGGAGCUUACUCUUCUUGGAUGAGUUGCGAACGGGUGAGUAACGCGUAGGUAACCUGCCUUGUAGCGGGGGAUAACUAUUGGAAACGAUAGCUAAUACCGCAUAACAAUGGAUGACACAUGUCAUUUAUUUGAAAGGGGCAAUUGCUCCACUACAAGAUGGACCUGCGUUGUAUUAGCUAGUAGGUGAGGUAAUGGCUCACCUAGGCGACGAUACAUAGCCGACCUGAGAGGGUGAUCGGCCACACUGGGACUGAGACACGGCCCAGACUCCUACGGGAGGCAGCAGUAGGGAAUCUUCGGCAAUGGGGGCAACCCUGACAGAGCAACGCCGCGUGAGUGAAGAAGGUUUUCGGAUCGUAAAGCUCUGUUGUAAGUCAAGAACGGGUGUGAGAGUGGAAAGUUCACACUGUGACGGUAGCUUACCAGAAAGGGACGGCUAACUACGUG
rnacentral:rRNA from 1 species